rnacentral:rRNA from 1 species
GACGAACGCUGGCGGCGUGCUUAACACAUGCAAGUCGAACGGAAAGGCCCUGCUUUUGUGGGGUGCUCGAGUGGCGAACGGGUGCGUAACACGUGAGUAACCUGCCCUUGACUUUGGGAUAACUUCAGGAAACUGGGGCUAAUCACGGAUCGGAGCCCCCGCUGCAUGGUGGGGGUUGGAACGUUUCGGCGGGUGGGGAUGGACUCGCGGCUUAUCAGCUUGUUGGUGGGGUAGUGGAUUACCCAGGCUUUGACGGGUAGCCGGCAUGAGAGGGUGACCGGGGACAUGGGGACUGAGAUAGGGACCAGACUGCUACAGUAGGCAGCAGGGGGGAAUAUUGCACAAUGGGCGGAAGCGUGAGGAAGAAACGCCGCGUGCGGGAUGACGGCCUUCGGGUUGAAAACCGCUUUCGCCUGUGACGAAGCGUGAGUGACGGUAAUGGGUAAAGAAGCACCGGCUAACUACGUG